rnacentral:rRNA from 1 species
GAUGAACGCUGGCGGCGUGCCUAAUACAUGCAAGUCGAGCGAACGGACGAGAAGCUUGCUUCUCUGAUGUUAGCGGCGGACGGGUGAGUAACACGUGGAUAACCUACCUAUAAGACUGGGAUAACUUCGGGAAACCGGAGCUAAUACCGGAUAAUAUUUUGAACCGCAUGGUUCAAAAGUGAAAGACGGUCUUGCUGUCACUUAUAGAUGGAUCCGCGCUGCAUUAGCUAGUUGGUAAGGUAACGGCUUACCAAGGCAACGAUGCAUAGCCGACCUGAGAGGGUGAUCGGCCACACUGGAACUGAGACACGGUCCAGACUCCUACGGGAGGCAGCAGUAGGGAAUCUUCCGCAAUGGGCGAAAGCCUGACGGAGCAACGCCGCGUGAGUGAUGAAGGUCUUCGGAUCAUAAAACUCUGUUAUUAGGGAAGAACAUAUGUGUAAGUAACUGUGCACAUCUUGACGGUACCUAAUCAGAAAGCCACGGCUAACUACGUGCCAGCAGCCGCGGUAAUACGUAGGUGGCAAGCGUUAUCCGGAAUUAUUGGGCGUAAAGCGCGCGUAGGCGGUUUUUUAAGUCUGAUGUGAAAGCCCACGGCUCAACCGUGGAGGGUCAUUGGAAACUGGAAAACUUGAGUGCAGAAGAGGAAAGUGGAAUUCCAUGUGUAGCGGUGAAAUGCGCAGAGAUAUGGAGGAACACCAGUGGCGAAGGCGACUUUCUGGUCUGUAACUGACGCUGAUGUGCGAAAGCGUGGGGAUCAAACAGGAUUAGAUACCCUGGUAGUCCACGCCGUAAACGAUGAGUGCUAAGUGUUAGGGGGUUUCCGCCCCUUAGUGCUGCAGCUAACGCAUUAAGCACUCCGCCUGGGGAGUACGACCGCAAGGUUGAAACUCAAAGGAAUUGACGGGGACCCGCACAAGCGGCGGAGCAUGUGGUUUAAUUCGAAGCAACGCGAAGAACCUUACCAAAUCUUGACAUCCUUUGACAACUCUAGAGAUAGAGCCUUCCCCUUCGGGGGACAAAGUGACAGGUGGUGCAUGGUUGUCGUCAGCUCGUGUCGUGAGAUGUUGGGUUAAGUCCCGCAACGAGCGCAACCCUUAAGCUUAGUUGCCAUCAUUAAGUUGGGCACUCUAAGUUGACUGCCGGUGACAAACCGGAGGAAGGUGGGGAUGACGUCAAAUCAUCAUGCCCCUUAUGAUUUGGGCUACACACGUGCUACAAUGGACAAUACAAAGGGCAGCGAAACCGCGAGGUCAAGCAAAUCCCAUAAAGUUGUUCUCAGUUCGGAUUGUAGUCUGCAACUCGACUACAUGAAGCUGGAAUCGCUAGUAAUCGUAGAUCAGCAUGCUACGGUGAAUACGUUCCCGGGUCU